AACUUUUGGCAUGGGAUCUCUUGGCUCUCGCAUCGAUGAAGAACGCAGCGAAAUGCGAUAAGUAAUGUGAAUUGCAGAAUUCAGUGAAUCAUCGAAUCUUUGAACGCACCUUGCGCUCCCUGGUAUUCCGGGGAGCACGCCUGUUCGAGUGUCAUGAAACUCUCAAGCAGCAUAGCUUUAUUGUUAUGUCUGUUUGGAUUUGGACUCUCCCGCUUUUACGAGUGGCUGGUCUUAAAUGUAUUAGCUGGCCCUUGUGAGUCUUGGUUCUACUCGGCGUGAUAAUUAUCUGACGUUGAGGACAGUCUUCGGACUGGCCAAGGUCUUCAAAGACCGCUUCUAAUCGUCUUCGGACAAUCAAAUUUCUACAUCUGACCUCGAAUCAGGCGGGACUACCCGCUGAACUUAAGCAUAUCAAUAAGCGGAGGCU
rnacentral:misc_RNA from 1 species